GCAUUAAUACUUGAAUUUGUUUUAUUAAUGGUGUAUGUAUAUAUUUCUUGAUAUUAAAAUGGGUAAAAAAUAUGAAUAAAAACAUUAAGACGAGUGCUUUAUGCACACAGAGUGACUGCUGCCAAGGGUUCUGAGAUUAUUAUGUGGACGUAGGUGGGUGGAAUGAGAAAAAAGGAAUCAUCGGACAUUGUUUUGUCAUGUGGAGGUAGAUGGGUGGAAUGAGAAAUAAGGCACCCAUGAAGAGUGGGAUUGUGCUGUUCAUUUCAAAAACUUCUAAAAGAAGAAGGGAAGCCUGAAUAGGAUGUGUAAUUGAGGUGGUGAAUGACUUGGAGGCCUAUGAAAGGAGGAUAUGAUCCUUGACUCUGGAUGGUGUCAUGGUGGAACUGAACUCAUAAGUUAUGCAUGUCUGCAUGGCAUUGCAUACAAAGAGAAAAGGAAAU